CAUUUCCAAAGUAUCUUAUGCCAUUUCAUGAGGUUUACCAACAACCGCAUAAGACAUUCGUAGAUGUUAUUGGCAUAGUUCUUCAUUUGGAACCAUUAAAGCAUAUCGGUGGAAGACCGUAUAGAGAAGCUGUACUAAUGGAUUCUAGGUGGGAUCUAAUCAUCGUGGGGGUAUGGACUGACCUCUUGCAAAGAAAUGCUCUACGAUGGUCGUUAGCUAGAGUUGACAAGAACAUAAUUAUUGGAACUUUGCUGCGUUGUAACCA